rnacentral:lncRNA from 10 species
AUCUCAGUAGAGGUGGGGAGCAGAAACCAAAAUUCCUAGUCAUCCCAGAUGGAGCGUCUCAGUGGUGAGAAGAAACCAAAAUUCCAGUCAUCCCAGAUGGAGCGUCUCAGUGGAGGCCUAGAGGUGAUUCAGAACUUGCAUCUCUGUCACGCAGUAAUGCGGAGCCUCUUCCCCAGCGGCCAGGUGAGGGACCUGGAAUUAUAACCCUAGCUGGGAGUAACCCUUCCUCCUUUGCUGCCAGAGCAGUUUCAGAGGAAAUCCAGCCAAAACAGAAGGUUGAAAUAAGAUCUGGUGUCUCAUUACAUAAUACUCAAAAUGGACUACACCUAGGCAUGUCAUAAGCGAACCAGAGUCAAUGAGAAAAAUUUUGAAAGAAGCCCAAGGAGAAAAAAAUACCUCACAUUUAGAGGAACAAGAAUAAGAAUGACAGUGGAGUUCUCAUAGAAACCAGGAACACGAUGAUGGAAUGAAAUGUUUAAACUGUUAAAAGAAGAAAAGCACCAAUCAAAACU